rnacentral:rRNA from 1 species
CAGCAGUGAGGAAUAUUGGUCAAUGGCGCGAGCCUGAACCAGCCAAGUCGCGUGAGGGAGGACGGCCCUACCGGGUUGGUAAACCUCUUUUNUCCGGGGAGCAACGGGCGCCACGUGUGGCGCCACUGAGAGUACCCGGAGAAAAAGCAUCGGCUAACUCCGUGCC